GGAGAGAGAGGGCUGCGAGGGCGGGAGAGAGAGGGCUGCGAGGGCGCGAGAGAGCCGGCCGUGGGGGUCCUUUCCCACGGCCGGGCAAGAGGGAAAAGGGUUUUCCUUCUUAAUUCUUGCCUGAUUAGAUUGAUACAUCUCCUCUCCAUAUAUAGAGAGGUUUACUUGACUCCCAAGUAAGGCUUACUUGACCCCUAAGCAAACCCUAAGACUAACGGGCCCACGCCCAUCACGUACUCUAACAC
rnacentral:lncRNA from 1 species